AGGACGAACGCUGGCGGCGUGCUUAACACAUGCAAGUCGAGCGGAAAGGCCCUUCGGGGUACUCGAGCGGCGAACGGGUGAGUAACACGUGAGCAACCUGCCCCUGGCUCUGGGAUAGCCUCCGGAAACGGGGAUUAAUACCGGACAUUCACUGCCUGCCGCAUGGUGGGUGGUGGAAAGUUUUUCGGACAGGGAGGGGCUCGCGGUCUAUCAGCUUGUUGGCGGGGUAACGGCCCACCAAGGCGACGACGGAUAGCCGGCCUGAGAGGGGCGAGUCGGACCGACGACCUGGGACUGAGACACGGCCCAGACUCCUACGGGAGGCAGCAGUGGGGAAUAUUGCACAAUGGGCGCAAGCCUGAUGCAGCGACGCCGCGUGGGGAUGAAGGCCUUCGGGUUGUAACCCCUUUCACCAGGAGCGAAUUCAGACGGUACCUGGGGAAGAAGCGCCGGCUAACUACGUGCCAGCAGCCGC
rnacentral:rRNA from 1 species